CCUACGGGAGGCAGCAGUGAGGAAUAUUGGUCAAUGGUCGGAAGACUGAACCAGCCAAGCCGCGUGCAGGAGGAAGGUUCUGAGAAUCGUAAACCGCUUUUGUCAGGGAACAAAGACUGGGACGUGUCUCCUGAUGAGCGUACCUGACGAAUAAGGAUCGGCUAACUCCGUGCCAGCAGCCGCGGUAAUACGGAGGGUGCAAGCGUUAUCCGGAUUUAUUGGGGUUAAAGGGUGCGUAGGCGGGUUGUUAAGUUAGAGGUGAAAUCCCGGGGCUUAACCCGAGAACUGCCGUUAAAACUGGCAAUCUAGAGUAUGGGAGAGGUAGGCGGAAUGCGUGGUGUAGCGGUGAAAUGCAUAGAGAUC
rnacentral:rRNA from 1 species